ACUUUUAAAGGAUAACAGCAAUCCAUUGGUCUUAGGAACCA
rnacentral:tRNA from 1 species